UUUAUGGAGAGUUUGAUCCUGGCUCAGGAUGAACGCUGGCGGCGUGCCUAAUACAUGCAAGUCGAGCGAACGGACGAGAAGCUUGCUUUUCUGAUGUUAGCGGCGGACGGGUGAGUAACACGUGGAUAACCUACCUAUAAGACUGGGAUAACUUCGGGAAACCGGAGCUAAUACCGGAUAAUAUUUUGAACCGCAUGGUUCAAAAGUGAAAGACGGUCUUGCUGUCACUUAUAGAUGGAUCCGCGCUGCAUUAGCUAGUUGGUAAGGUAACGGCUUACCAAGGCAACGAUGCAUAGCCGACCUGAGAGGGUGAUCGGCCACACUGGAACUGAGACACGGUCCAGACUCCUACGGGAGGCAGCAGUAGGGAAUCUUCCGCAAUGGGCGAAAGCCUGACGGAGCAACGCCGCGUGAGUGAUGAAGGUCUUCGGAUCGUAAAACUCUGUUAUUAGGGAAGAACAUAUGUGUAAGUAACUGUGCACAUCUUGACGGUACCUAAUCAGAAAGCCACGGCUAACUACGUGCCAGCAGCCGCGGUAAUACGUAGGUGGCAAGCGUUAUCCGGAAUUAUUGGGCGUAAAGCGCGCGUAGGCGGUUUUUUAAGUCUGAUGUGAAAGCCCACGGCUCAACCGUGGAGGGUCAUUGGAAACUGGAAAACUUGAGUGCAGAAGAGGAAAGUGGAAUUCCAUGUGUAGCGGUGAAAUGCGCAGAGAUAUGGAGGAACACCAGUGGCGAAGGCGACUUUCUGGUCUGUAACUGACGCUGAUGUGCGAAAGCGUGGGGAUCAAACAGGAUUAGAUACCCUGGUAGUCCACGCCGUAAACGAUGAGUGCUAAGUGUUAGGGGGUUUCCGCCCUUAGUGCUGCAGCUAACGCAUUAAGCACUCCGCCUGGGGAGUACGACCGCAAGGUUGAAACUCAAAGGAAUUGACGGGGACCCGCACAAGCGGUGGAGCAUGUGGUUUAAUUCGAAGCAACGCGAAGAACCUUACCAAAUCUUGACAUCCUUUGACAACUCUAGAGAUAGAGCCUUCCCUUCGGGGACAAAGUGACAGGUGGUGCAUGGUUGUCGUCAGCUCGUGUCGUGAGAUGUUGGGUUAAGUCCCGCAACGAGCGCAACCCUUAAGCUUAGUUGCCAUCAUUAAGUUGGGCACUCUAAGUUGACUGCCGGUGACAAACCGGAGGAAGGUGGGGAUGACGUCAAAUCAUCAUGCCCCUUAUGAUUUGGGCUACACACGUGCUACAAUGGACAAUACAAAGGGCAGCGAAACCGCGAGGUCAAGCAAAUCCCAUAAAGUUGUUCUCAGUUCGGAUUGUAGUCUGCAACUCGACUACAUGAAGCUGGAAUCGCUAGUAAUCGUAGAUCAGCAUGCUACGGUGAAUACGUUCCCGGGUCUUGUACACACCGCCCGUCACACCACGAGAGUUUGUAACACCCGAAGCCGGUGGAGUAACCUUUUAGGAGCUAGCCGUCGAAGGUGGGACAAAUGAUUGGGGUGAAGUCGUAACAAGGUAGCCGUAUCGGAAGGUGCGGCUGGAUCACCUCCUUUCU
rnacentral:rRNA from 1 species